UGGGGUAUAUUGCACAAUGGGGGAAACCCUGAUGCAGCGACGCCGCGUGAACGAAGAAGGUAUUCGUAUCGUAAAGUUCUGUCCUAUGGGAAGAUACUGACAGUACCAUAGAAGAAAGCUCCGGCUAAAUACGUGCCAGCAGCCGCGGUAAUACGUAUGGAGCGAGCGUUGUCCGGAAUUAUUGGGCGUAAAGGGUACGCAGGCGGUUUAAUAAGUCGAAUGUUAAAGAUCGGGGCUCAACCCCGCAAAGCAUUGGAAACUGAUAAACUGGAGUAGUGGAGAGGAAAGUGGAAUUCCUAGUGUAGUGGUGAAAUACGUAGAUAUUAGGAGGAAUACCAGUAGCGAAAGCGACUUUCUGGACACAAACUGACGCUGAGGUACGAAAGCGUGGGGGGCAAACAGG
rnacentral:rRNA from 1 species